UACAGAGACUGCAGGCGUUAUUCGGAUUCACUGGGCGUAAAGGGUGCGCAGGCGGCCGUGUGUGUUAGGUGUGAAAGCCCGAGGCUUAACCUCGGAAUUGCGCCUAAAACUACACGGCUAGAGCAUUGGAGAGGGUAGCAGAAUUCAUGGUGUAGCAGUGAAAUGCGUAGAUAUCAUGAGGAAUACCAGAGGCGAAGGCGGCUACCUGGACAAUUGCUGACGCUCAGGCACGAAAGCGUGGGGAGCAAAAGGG
rnacentral:rRNA from 1 species